rnacentral:rRNA from 1 species
GACGAACGCUGGCGGCGUGCCUAACACAUGCAAGUCGAGCGAGGUAUUUGCGGCUGAUUCCUUCGGGAAGAAGCUGCAAAUCACCUAGCGGCGGACGGGUGAGUAACGCGUGAGGAACCUACCUCCUACAAAGGGAUAGCCUCGGGAAACUGGGAUUAAUACCUUAUGACACUUAAGAGUCGCAUGACUUUUAAGUUAAAGCGUUUUAGCGGUAGGAGAUGGCCUCGCGUCCCAUUAGCUAGUUGGUGAGGUAACGGCUCACCAAGGCGACGAUGGGUAGCCGGCCUGAGAGGGUGGACGGCCACACUGGAACUGAGACACGGUCCAGACUCCUACGGGAGGCAGCAGUGGGGAAUAUUGCACAAUGGGCGGAAGCCUGAUGCAGCGACGCCGCGUGAGUGACGAAGGCCUUCGGGUCGUAAAACUCUGUCCUAAGGGACGAUAAUGACGGUACCUUAGGAGAAGCCCCGGCUAACUACGUGCCAGCAGCCGCGGUAAGAGUACUCU